rnacentral:tRNA from 1 species
GGCCGGUUAGCUCAGUGUUUUGAGCGUGGUGCUGACAACAAUGACAACACUGAGGUCGUGGGUUCGAUUCCCGCUCGGUCC